GACGAACGCUGGCGGCGUGCUUAACACAUGCAAGUCGAACGGUAAGGCCCUUCGGGGUACACGAGUGGCGAACGGGUGAGUAACACGUGGGUGAUCUGCCCUGCACUUCGGGAUAAGCCUGGGAAACUGGGUCUAAUACCGGAUAGGACCACUGCCUGCAUGGGUGGUGGUGGAAAGCUUUUGCGGUGUGGGAUGGGCCCGCGGCCUAUCAGCUUGGUGGGGGGGUGAUGGCCUACCAAGGCGACGACGGGUAGCCGGCCUGAGAGGGUGACCGGCCACACUGGGACUGAGAUACGGCCCAGACUCCUACGGGAGGCAGCAGUGGGGAAUAUUGCACAAUGGGCGCAAGCCUGAUGCAGCGACGCCGCGUGAGGGAUGACGGCCUUCGGGUUGUAAACCUCUUUCAGCACAGACGAAGCGCAAGUGACGGUAUGUGCAGAAGAAGGACCGGCCAACUACGUGCCAGCCGCCGCCGUAA
rnacentral:rRNA from 1 species